rnacentral:sRNA from 1 species
CAGAGCAUACACACCACGUCUACUUCUCAGCGCCUCUGGAGCGAGUCCCGUUGCCAGGAGAACUUCUUUCUUGUUCUUGGAAUAGAUGCUGCGCAGAAGAACCUUUCUGGAGGCCAGGGCCACAUCAUGGAAGAUUGUGACCUCAAAGAGCCUGAAGGACUCCUCACUGUCAGCAGCUUCUGUCUCCAGCAUUGCAAAGCCCUGAUCCAGACCAAGCACCAGUCUACCAGAGCAGCGCAGGCGUUUCUCAUCCAGCAGCAAUGCUAUUUCCUCACCCAGGGCAGGUGCCUGGGCUGACCCUGACGGGAGCCUCCAGGAACACUGCCUUGAGAAGGCACCACCGAGGGGCUAUGAGGUCCCUGAAGACCAACUGGUGCCUGUGCUCUACAAACAGACAAAUAUUUGACCUUUGUCUUCAAUGACAUUUACAUAUAAAUAGACAUAAAUAAAAUCCUCCAUAAUUUA